ensembl:lncRNA
AAAAUGUCUGGUAGUGGGAGUUUCUUUCCAUUUUAGCUGCUUAUAAUUAAAUGACAAGCUCAUAUAGGUUCAUUAUAACCCCCUCUCUAUAAUUGGAGGAAGCUGUCUUAGAUUUAUGUUGUUAAUUGCUCAUGAGAGAGUCUCUUUUCCUACAAAGUCAGACUGAAGAGAGCAAGCUUCACUUCUGUGCAGCAAUGAGGCCAGAAUUUGGGAGAUAAAUUACUCGCAGCAAACACAGGCUGAGCCCAGCCAUGCUGGUGGCUCUGGGGACUGAGCAGAACUGCAGCACAAGCCCACUUUCAGCCUUUUUGUAAGCCCACAUCUCUUUUCUGGCUAAGAACUUGAGGCUGAACUGCUUGGAACUGCUCUUAUCUCUGUUACCAUACGCUGUGAGCCCAGUACUGAGCUCCAUGGUUUGAAUUAAGCCUCUUUCUCUGCACCAGAGAUGUUCCUCGUGCAAGAGGACUGUCCUGGCAUCUCCUCUCAUCCUUCUUGGGAAGGGAAAUCCUGAGCAAUGUGGUGUGAUCCAAGUGGCCCUUCCAUCUCCGCUAUCAUCAGAAAACACCAUGUGCUUCAUGGGCAUGGCGCUGUGAAAUGGUUCCAGCUGUUCAACCCCGUGGAGAUGGACAAAAGUCAGAUGCAGAGUCUCUCCAUCCACCUCUGGGCCUGGCAGAGGAUGCUUGAGGUGGGGCUGGAUGAACCACAGCACUUUAAAGCAAAGUUGAAGGCAAACCGGCAACAUUUUCUGUGCUUGUGAGGCUGUGCUCCUGUUAAAAGUCACUCAUAUGGCAGCCAUCAAAAAGGUUUGGCUUUUUGCAUGUGAAAAAAAAUGUUUGUAUUAUUAAAAGAACAGUAUUCUGUGCCUUCUUCAGAAGGUAACAUGCACCAGAAACAAGCACUGUACUUCUCCUUUGCUACGCUGCUGCUUUUACAUUCAAAUCAACUGUAGCAAAAAGUUCUUCCCCUUUUCAUGAAAGAAAGGGGAGCUAGAAGAUCAUUUGUAUGGAAUCAUGUUAAUAGUACAGAAUAUUUUCUUGGAAUAAUUGAAUGGCCCUCGUUGGAAGAGACCUUUGAAAGAUCAUCAGGUCCAAACUUGAUUUUAUGUCCCUCGAGGCUGCAAAGUAUACUAAAUCUGAUUUAAUGUAGGGCUGCAGUAUCAUCUGAGGCUUCAAUCUUCUCCUAAGACUCUGCUGCUUCAUCUUGUGCCAGCCUUUAAUAACACAGGGGAACUUUAACAUGUGGCAAUCUGUACAGCUGCGGCAUCACAGGUCACGGAUUGCUGUGGCUGCAGCUUGGAAUCGCCACUUUUGUGAUGAACUUGUUCAUAGGAGAUCAUUUUAUACUAUUUGAGGAUGUGUCCCAUUGUGCUGGAAGAGAGCAAAAUGUCAGACAAAUAUUUGGAGUAAAAAGAAAUCAGUUCUUAGUCAUUUUUGUAUUAUGUAUCUGAGAGCAAAGCCAUUAUUUUCUGGUUUUGUAGGUGUUGUGUAGCAGAACAUCAAAUGUAUGCACAAAAGGACAGAUGAUGAAAACACAGAGAUAAAGAAAACAGGUGGUGAGCUGCCAAGAAAAAAAUAUCUUAUCCUUUUAUAAGCACAUUUCUUUGACUGAGCUUUGCUGUGAUUUUUAAAUGAUCGUAAUGAGAAAUAAAAGCCAACCGUUUGAAUUGGCAGGUGGAGCACAGCACAACGGGGUCUGUGAGGCCCUGUUACAGUUUGUUUUGUCAGAUGUUUGUGUUUGGUUUUGCUUUUAUAUAAUGAGAAGCAGUGGAGAAACUCCCACUGAUGGAUGGGGGAGAUUAAUUCAGACAGUUGUGGUCUUCCUGAGAAAUGGCUUGAAGAGAGCUUAGACUUGGGAAAGCAAGAAGGAAGAAGGAAUUAAUUUGAAGGUUUUUUCCCUUUGAUACGUCUCAGUAUCUGAGAGAUUUUAUGUACUCAGCAAGGAAGGUCCUUAACAUCUGAAUCCAUGGGUUUCAUCCAUGGCCCAUAAAUCUCCAGGACCAUUCCUAAUGGUCUGAUGUAGCACGGCAGACCCUCAACUCUCUCCAGUUACACCUUGUCAGAAGCUGAUUUUCCAGCCUGCUACAGCUAACAAUCAAUAAAGGGAGACAAAUAAUCUGAUUUGGGAAAAUGCCUUACGGGAAAUCUCACUGAGGGAACUUGUCUACCUCUGCGUGACAUAAUGCUCUCUAAUGACAUAAUACAAUAAUGACAUUUUCUUCAGCUUUCCUGGGCAUCUCACUUAGGGAACGGUGUCUGUUGGUAUUUGACUGCCAUUGACAUAAUUAUAGAUUGGAUGAGGUUUCUUAGCAACUUUGAUGGCGACGCCGGUUAUGUUGGGUAUUGUCUGGGUGUCUGAUGAUGCAAUUUGACUGUUCAGGAUGUAGCCAUGGGAGCUGAUGGAGACAGGCCCUUCCAGCUUGUCUCUGGCCAUACAGAGCAGACACCCAGAAAGCAGGCUUCUCUUCUCCAUGUGCUGGCAGCUACAUGGAGAGUUAGACUGAUGUAGUAACUGCUGCUUAGAAUCCCACUGCUUUAAAUACAACCUCUAAGUGCUUAAUGCCUUCAGUAAUCAGGUGGCUCUGAGUUUGGCACCCAUACACAGGCUUUUGCAACCUGACUUCAGGUAUGCAGGUUUGGAGACUGCCUGUUUCCUCUCAGUUAUCCACCACUGCUCGUCUGGAUGUUUGCAACUGCUGUAAUCCUCUCAUUAUACUGUGUUUUGCAUUGCCACAGCAACAAAUGCCAGUGUGACUGGAGUGAUAACUGCAAUAAACUGGCGCAGAACAUCUCCUAAUAAUGAUCAGAGGAGUGAAGAAGACAAUUACUUCUCAUUUCUCUGCAUCCUCACAUGAUGUGAAAAUUCUUUUGUAAUUUCACUGCAUGGGAAACAAAUCUAAUCAAUACAUUCGAAUUGCAGCCACAUCGCCUAUAGAAGCAGGCUUCAGAAUUAAUUUCUGCAUCUCUGAGGUUCAUGCAGUCUUUUUAAUUGCGUUACAUAUUUCAAUAUGCAAAAUGCUGUAUUUAAAUAGGAAUAGGAUUACUUCAUUAUUGAAGUUAAUUAAGAUGGGUAAUUAAAUGUUACAAUUAAGGUAUUGUGUAUUUUACAUUUUAUUUCCAUAAAAAGUGAUUUCCAAGUAUGACAUAAAUGAAUUGUUUGAGGUUCCAAAUCAGCUUUUCUAACUCAUUUUUUUUUCCCCACAG